UCCACCUUAGCUCAGUUGGUAGAGCGAAUGGCUGUUAACCAUUAGGUCGCUGGUUCGAGCCCGGCAGGUGGAGCCA
rnacentral:tRNA from 1 species